CCUACGGGAGGCAGCAGUGAGGAAUAUUGGUCAAUGGCCGGAAGGCUGAACCAGCCAAGUCGCGUGAGGGAUGACUGCCCUAUGGGUUGUAAACUUCUUUUAUAAGGGAAUAACAAGUCCUACGUGUAGGAUUUUGCAUGUACCUUAUGAAUAAGGAUCGGCUAAUUCCGUGCCAGCAGCCGCGGUAAUACGGAGGAUCCGAGCGUUAUCCGGAUUUAUUGGGUUUAAAGGGGGCGUAGGCCGCUUGUUAAGUUUGUUGGUAAAGUGUGGGGCUCAAACGUGGACUUGCAGUUAAAACUGGCAGGCUCGAGUACAGUCGAGGUAGGCGGAAUACGUUGUGUAGCGGUGAAAUGCUUAGAUAUGACGAAGAACUCCGAUUGCGAAGGCAGCUUACCGGACUGCAACUGACGCUGAGGCACGAAAGCGUGGGUAGCGAACAGGAUUAGAUACCCCAGUAGUC
rnacentral:rRNA from 1 species